rnacentral:rRNA from 1 species
AGUGAACGCUGGCGGUAGGCCUAACACAUGCAAGUCGAACGGCAGCACAGUAAGAGCUUGCUCUUACGGGUGGCGAGUGGCGGACGUGUGAGGAAUAUAUCGGAAUCUACUUUUUCGUGGGGGAUAACGUGGGGAAACUUACUCUCAUACCGCAUACGACCUACGGUUGAAAGCAGGGGAUCUUCGCACCUUGCGCGAUUGAAUGAGCCGAUGUCGGAUUAGCUAGUUGGCGGGUUAAAGGCCCACCAAGGCGACGAUCCGUAGCUGGUCUGAGAGGAUGAUCGGCGGCACUGGAACGGAGACACGGUCAAGAGUACUAAGGGAGGCAGCAGUGGGGAAUAUUGGACAAUGGGCGCAAGCCUGAUCCAGCCAGACCGCGUGGGUGAAGAAGGCCUUCGGGUUGUAAAGACCUUUUGUUGGGAAAGAAAAGCAGCAGGUUAAGACGCAGCUGUUGUGACGGUACCGAAAGAAUAAGCACCGGCUAACUUCGUG